UAGGGAAUCUUCCACAAUGGACGCAAGUCUGAUGGAGCAACGCCGCGUGAGUGAAGAAGGUUUUCGGAUCGUAAAGCUCUGUUGUAAGAGAAGAACGUGUGUGAGAGUGGAAAAUUCACACAGUGACGGUAACUUACCAGAAAGGGACGGCUAACUACGUACCAG
rnacentral:rRNA from 1 species